UACGUAGGGAGCAAGCGUUGUUCGGAUUUACUGGGCGUAAAGGGCGCGUAGGCGGCAAAUUAAGUCAGCUGUGAAAUCUCCGAGCUUAACUCGGAACGGUCAGCUGAUACUGAUCUGCUAGAGUGCGGAAGGGGCAAUCGGAAUUCUUGGCGUAGCGGUGAAAUGCGUAGAUAUCAAGAGGAACACCUGAGGUGAAGACGGGUUGCUGGGCCGACACUGACGCUGAGUGCGCGAAGGCUAGGGGAGCGAACGGG
rnacentral:rRNA from 1 species